rnacentral:lncRNA from 10 species
CAUUGGAAACGGGAAUAUCUUCAUAUAAAAUCUAGACAGAGGCAUUCUCAGAAACUUCUUUGUGAUGUGUGUCCUCAACUAACGGCGGUACAUCCUGUCUUUUGAUACAGCAGUUUGGAAACACUCUUUUUGUAGAAUCUGCCAGUGGAUAUUUGCAUAGCUCUAAUGAUUUCUUUGGAAACGGGAAUACCUUCAUAUAAAAUCUAGACAGAGGCACUCUCAGAAACUGCUUUGUGAUAUCUGCAUUCAAGUCACACAGUUCAACAUUCCCUUUCUUAGAGCAGGUUUGAAACACUCUUUUUGCAGGAUCUGGAAGUGGACAUUUGGAGCGCUUUGACGCCUUUGGUGAUAAAGGAAAUGUCUUCACAUAAAAACUAGAAAGAAGCAUUCUAAGAAACAUCUUUGUGAUAUAUGUACUCAACUAACCGAGUUGAACCUUGCUCUUUAUAGAUCAGCUUUUUAAUGCUCUUUUUGUGGAAUCUGCAAGUGGAUAUUUGGAUAGCUUUCAGGAUUUCGUUGGAAACGGGAUUACAAACAAAAUGUAGACAGCAGCAUUCUCAGAAACUUCUUUGUGAUGUUUGCUUUUAAGUCACAGAGUUGAACAUUCCCUUUCGUAGAGCAGGUUUCAGACACUCUUUCUGUAGUAUCUGGAAGUGGACAUUUCGAGUGUUUUCAGGCCUAUGGUGAACAAGGAAAUAUCUUCCCAUAAAAACCAGACACAAGCAUUUGCAGAAACUUGUUUGUGAUGCGUGUCCUCAACUCACAGAAUAGAACAUUUCGUUUGACAGAGCAGCUUGGAAACACGCUUUUUGUAGAAUCUGCAAUUGGAUAUUUGGAUAGCUUUGUGGAUUUCUUUGGAAACGGGAGUAUCUUCAUAUAAAACCUAGACGGAAACAUUCUCAGAAACUCCUUUGUAAUGUCUGCAUUCACGUCACAGAUUUGAACAUUCCCUUUCAUAGAGCAGGUUUGAAACACUCUUUCCGAAGUAUCUGGAUGUGGACACUUGGAGCGCUUUGACGCUUACGGUGAAAAGGAAAUAACUUCCCAUGAAAACUAGACAGAAGCAUUCUCACAAACUGGUGUGUGAUGUAUGUCCUCAGCUAACAGAGUUAAACCUUUCUAUUUACAGAGCAGUUUUCAAAGACUCUUUUUGGAGAAUCUGCAAGUGGAUAUCUGGAGAUCUUUAAGGAUUUCAUUGGAAACCGGAAUAUCUUCAGGUAAAAUCUAGACAGAGGCAUUCUCAGAAACUUCUUCGUGAUGUGCGUCCUCAACUAACAGAGUACAACCUGUCUUUUGAUACAUCAGUUUGGAAACACUCUUUUUGUAGAAUCUGGAAGUGGAUAUUUCGAUAGCUCUAACGAUUUUGUUGAAAACGGGAAUAGCUUCAUAUAAAAUCUAGGCAGAGGCACUCUCAGAAACUAAUUUUGUGAGAUCUGCAUUCAAGUCACAGAGUUGAACAUUCCCUUUCUUAGAGCACGUUUGAAACACACUUUUUGUAGUAUCUGGAAGUGGACAUUUGGAGCGCUUUCACGCCUUUGGUGAAAAAGGAAAUGUCUUCCCAUAAAAACUAGACAGAAGCAUUCUAAGAAACUUCUUUGUGAUAUAUGCACUCAACUAACCGAGUUGAACCUUUCUCUUUAUAGAUCAGUUUGAAAUGCUCUUUUUGUGGAAUCUGCAAGUGGAUAUUUGGAUAGCUCUGAGGAUUUCGUUGGAAUCGGGAUUACAUAUAAAAUAUAGACAGCAGCAUUCUCAGAAGCUCCUUGUGAUGUUUGCUUUUAAGUCACAGAGUUGAACAUUCCCUUCCAUAGAGCAGUUUUGAAACACUCUUUCUGUAGUAUCUCUAAGUGGACAUUUCGAGCGAUGUCAGGCCUAUGUUGAAAAAGGAAAUAACUUCCCAUAAAAAGUAGACAGAAGCAUUCUCAGAAACUUAUUUGUGAUGGGUGUCCUCAACUAACAGAGUUGAACGUUUCUUUUGAUACAACAGUUUAGAAACACUCUUUUUGUAGUAUCUGCAAGCGGAUAUUUCGAUAACUUUGAAGAUUUCGUUGGAAACGGGAAUAUCUUCAUAUACAAUCUAGACAGAGG